rnacentral:rRNA from 1 species
CAAUAGCGUAUAUUAAAGUUGUUGCGGUAAAAAGCUCGUAGUUGGAUUUCUGUUGAGGACGACCGGUCCGUACCAUGUACGCGCAUCUGGUUCGGCCUCGGCAUCCUCUCAAUGGACGUUUCUGCGCUUGAUUGCGUGGAGCGGAUUUUGAGACUUUUACUUUGAGGAAAUUAGAGUGUUCACGGCAGGCUAUCGCCAGAAUACAUUAGCAUGGAAUAAUACUAUAGGAUCUCGGUUCUAUUUUGUUGGUUUCUUAGACCCGGGGUAACGUGAUUAAUAGGGACGAAUUGGGGGCGAUUUGUUAUCAACACGUCAGAGGUGGAAUUCUUGGAUUGUGUUGCGACAAACUAACUGCGAAAGACAUUUGUCCAAGGAUGUUUUCUAUUGUAUCAAGAAACGAAAGUAAUGGGGAGUCGAAGAUGAUCAGAUACCGU